rnacentral:siRNA from 1 species
CCAGAAAGUCUAGGUGGAUCUAAA